UAUCUUACAGCUUUGAAGUUUCAAUGGUGUGAUAGUUUAUUCUUAGAAUGUCAAUGUGGGUUAGGUGUGGGAGGCUAGAUAUGGCCAGUUUGAAUGUAAAACAUGUAGAAUAUUUGGGCCGGACAUGGCCGGCUUAAACACCAAAGGGAUAGACUCAGUACCUGAAGAUUUCAA